rnacentral:rRNA from 1 species
GCAUCANGAGAGUUCAACUGUCUCCCNNACCCAAUCAGUGAAACUGAUCUCCCCGUGCAGAAGCGGGGAUAAAACCAUAAGACGAGAAGACCCCAUGGAGCUUUAAACUAAAGGCACUAGCUCUUAAUUUACCCCAAGGACAAAACAUUAAACCAGUUAAAGUGACCUGUCGUUUUCGGUUGGGGCGACCACGGAGAAGAACAAAUCCUCCGAGAUGAAAGGGUAAACCCUUAGCCAAGACCCACAAUUCUAAGCAAUAGAACAUCUAACGCACCGAUCCAAUCAAAUUGAUCAACGAACCAAGUUACCCUGGGGAUAACAGCGCAAUCUAUUUUCAGAGUUCAUAUCGACAAAUAGGUUUACGACCUCGAUGUUGGAUCAGGGCCUCCUANGGUGCAG